rnacentral:rRNA from 1 species
UGCGUAGGCGGCUAUAUUAGUCGGGUGUUAAAUCCUCGGGCUCAACCCGAGAAUCGCAUUCGAAACGGUAUAGCUAGAAGAAGUGAGAGGUAAACAGAACUCUCGGUGUAGGGGUGAAAUCCGUUGAUAUCGAGGGGAAUACCAAAUGCGAAGGCAGUUUACUGGCACUUUCUUGACGCUGAGGCACGAAAGCAUGGGUAGCGAACG